CCCUUAGAUGUUCUGGGCCGCACGCGCGCUACACUGAUGCAUUCAACAAGCCUAGCCUUGACCGAGAGGUCCGGGUAAUCUUUGAAACUGCAUCGUGAUGGGGCUAGAUUAUUGCAAUUAUUAAUCUUCAACGAGGAAUGCCUAGUAAGCGUGAUUCAUCAAAUCGCGUUGAUUACGUCCCUGCCCUUCGUACACACCGCCCGUCGCUCCUACCGAUUGAAUGUGUUGGUGAGGAGCUCGGAUUGGCAGCAGUUGGUGGUUCGCCACCGGCUAUUGCUGAGAAGUCCUCCAAACCGCCCCAUUUAGAGGAAGGAGAAGUCGUAACA
rnacentral:rRNA from 1 species